CUAAUACAUGCAAGUCGAACGAGAGCGACCGGUGCUUGCACUGGUCAAUCUAGUGGCGAACGGGUGAGUAACACGUGGGUAACCUGCCCAUCAGAGGGGGAUAACAUCCGGAAACGGAUGCUAAAACCGCAUAGGUCUUCGAACCGCAUGGUUUGAAGAGGAAAAGAGGCGCAAGCUUCUGCUGAUGGAUGGACCCGCGGUGCAUUAGCUAGUUGGUGAGGUAACGGCUCACCAAGGCCGUGAUGCAUAGCCGACCUGAGAGGGUGAUCGGCCACAUUGGGACUGAGACACGGCCCAAACUCCUACGGGAGGCAGCAGUAGGGAAUCUUCCGCAAUGGACGCAAGUCUGACGGAGCAACGCCGCGUGAGUGAAGAAGGUUUUCGGAUCGUAAAACUCUGUUGUUAGAGAAGAACAAGUGCUAGAGUAACUGUUAGCGCCUUG
rnacentral:rRNA from 1 species